rnacentral:rRNA from 1 species
CCGCUGAAUUUAAGCAUAUCACUAAGCGGAGGAAAAGAAACUAACAUGGAUUCCCCUAGUAACUGCGAGUGAACAGGGAAAAGCCCAUGCAUGAAUCCUGCAGAGUGAAUCUGUUAGGAGAUGUAGCGUAUGGGUACUCUUAUUGUUGUGGGCGGCUAUCCACAAGUUCAUAUGAUUGUGAUUCCCAUGGAGGGUGUAAGGCCCGUAGGGGAUAGCUGUACCAUGACUUUAGUGUACUCUUGAGUCGGGUUGUUUGUGAUUGCAGCCCAAAUUAGGUGGUAAACUCCAUCUAAGGCUAAAUAUAACACUAGUCCGAUAGCAAACAAGUACCGUGAGGGAAAGUUGAAAAGAACUUUGAAGAGAGAGUUCAAUAGUGCGUGAAAUUGCUUAAAGGUAAACGAGUGGAGCUGAAAGUGGUGUGAUGGUUAAUGUUUAUUACUUGCGGAUGGCUGCCUAAUUCAAGCUAAUAUAUAUUUAUAUAUGUUAGCUGAUAUUCUCGGGUGUUUGUCACGUAUAGUAAUGAGCUAUCAUUUCCUCAUGCCUAAACCACGAACAAUGCCAUAUGGUUCACAUCUUUUUUGGCAAGGUGGCGUAAAUUUGUUUAUCAAAUUUAUGUGUUAUAGGCCAAAUAAUAUUUAAUGGUUCUUUAUGGUAUUGGGCAAAGCGAUACAAGCCUAAUUAUUAUGGCGCACAUGUUAGCCUAUUAUAAUUAUUUAUGCUGUUAGACUCCAUUAAAAAGAGAUUACAGUAUACUAUAUAAUGUAAUAGAGUGUUAGCCUCUGUGUAUUGUAUCUAUAUUCUGUGGUUAACAUAGUAAGUAGUCCACUCGACCCGUCUUGAAACACGGACCAAGGAGUUUAGCUUAUGCGCGAGUCAAUGAGUUUUACGAAACUUAUUUUUUCAAUUUAUUGGCGUAGUGAAAGUAAAGAUCCAUGUACUUGGAUUGAGGUGGGAUAUGCAUAGUAAAUUAUUCAUAAUAAUUUUGCUAUACAUCGCACCACCGGCUCGUCCCAUUCUUUUUAAGAGGGGCGAAGCAAGAGCGCAUAGGCUGAGACCCGAAAGAUGGUGAUCUAUGCUUGUGUAGGCUGAAGCCAGGGGAAACUUUGGUGGAGGGCCGUAGCGGUUUUGACGUGCAAAUCGAUCGUCAAACAUGAGUAUAGGGGCGAAAGACUAAUCGAACCAUCUAGUAGCUGGUUCCCUYUGAAGUUUCCCUCAGGAUAGCUGGCACUAUUUUUUUUUUUUUAAAACAGUUUUAUCUGGUAAAGCAAAUGAUUAGAGGUACUGGGGAAGUAAAUUCCUCAACCUAUUCUCAAACUUUAAAUGGGUAAGAUGUCACACUCGCUUAAUUUGGAGUUGUUGACAUUGAAUGUUAAUGCCAAGUGGGCCAUUUUUGGUAAGCAGAACUGGCGCUGUGGGAUGAACCAAACGUGAGGAUAAGGUGCCAAACGUAACGCUUAUCAGACACCACAAAAGGUGUUGGUUGAUCUAGACAGCAGGACGGUGGCCAUGGAAGUCGGAAUCCGCUAAGGAGUGUGUAACAACUCACCUGCCGAAUCAACCAGCCCUGAAAAUGGAUGGCGCUGGAGCGUUAGACCUAUACCUCACUGUAAUGUUAUGUUUUUUGUCAUGGAUAUCAUUACAAGUAAGAGGGUGACGUGGUAUGCAUUGAAGCUGCGGGUGUAAAGCCGGGUGGAGCUGCCACGUGUACAGAUCUUGGUGGUAGUAGCAAUUAUUCAAGUGAGAACCUUGAAGACUGAAGUGGAGAAGGGUUCC